UAGUUGCCCUGUGGACAGAUUCGCCCACCUGAGCUGUGGAUCUCUGCACCUCAUCCAGAGUUACCAUGGGCCUCUUGGCUGCUUCUCUGAUCAAUGCUCUCCUUGCCCGGCCUGUCAGUUUAGGUGGACGGCCAUGUCUUGGUAGGUUUGCAGUUGUGCCAUACUCUUUCCAUUUUCGGAUGAUGGAUUGAACAGUGCUCCGUGAGAUGUUCAAAGCUUGGGAUAUUUUUUUAUAACCUAACCCUAAACUUCUCCACAACUUUAUCCCUGACCUGUCUGGGGUGUUCCUUGGGCUUCAUGAUGCUGUUUGUUCACUAAUAUUCUCUAACAAACCUCUGAGGCCUUCACAGAACAGCUAUAUUUAUACUGAGAUUAGAUUACACACAAGUGAGCUCUAUUUACUAAUUAGGUGACUUCUGAAGGCAAUUGGUUGCACUGGAUUUUAUUUAGGGGUGUCAGAGUAAAGGGGGCUGAAUACUUUUGCACGCCACACUUUUCAGUUUUUUAUUUGUAAAAAAAUUUGAAAACCAUGUAUCAUUUUCCUUCCACUUCACAAUUAUGCGCCACUUUGUGUUGGUCUAUCACAUAAAAUACCAAUAAAAUACAUUUAUGUUUGUGGUUGUAACGUGACAAAAUGUGGAAAAGUUCAAGGGGUGUGAAUACUUUUGCAAGCCACUGUAUAUUAAACAGAUACUUUAUGGCUACCAUCAUGGAAGAUGGCAUAACAAACCUCCCAGAAAGAGCGAAGAUCAAAAGUCCAUUGAAUGGGCUGCUGAAAGAAAUGAUAAAAUAUUAUGGAACAAAAGGGACUGAUAGCCAAGAAAUUCCCUAGACCUGAUGACCUACAUUGCAAGGUAAUGGAAGAGUUGGCUUUGGAGACUGAAUAUACUAGCUGUCACCUUCUAAAGUUCUGUAGACUCUAGAACAGUUCCUACAGAACAGAAGGUAGCAAAAAAUAAAGCCAUUAUCUAAGAAGGUAGAGAGAAAUCACGCAACUAUAAAUCAGUUAGUCUGAAUGCAGGGGAAAAAAUGUUAUUAAGAAAGUGGGAACAUGACACUUAGAAAAUAUUGAGUAGAAUUAAUGUGGACUUACAAAAGUUGAAUAAACCUGUUAUAUUUUCUUGAGGACAAAACUAGCAGAACAACAAGAGGAAAACUAGUGCCAUGGACAAAAUUCUCAAACAAAAUGAGAACAUAUAGAAUUCACAGUAAGACGUAGGUCUGUAUUGGUUAACAGAUUUAAAAAAAAGAGAGCAAAUGGGGCAUGCUCAGAUUGUCUGGAAGUAACUAGCGUGAUUUCAGGGGCCCAUAGCUCUUUGUAAUAUAUGUUCAUGAUUAUAUUGAUGGUACAAAACUGGUUGGUAAUCAGGGCUAUGAAAAUGUAGAGAUGAUUCAAAGGGAAACAUAUAGACCAAGAGAAUGAACGACGACAUGACACAUGUAUUAUUGUGGAAAAGUAUGAAGGCAUGAACUGUAUAAGGAAAAAGCAAAGAAUCUAGAGAGUUGGGGAAUAUUUUUUUUCCAUUCUGAAUAACGGAUUUAUCUCUGUAAAUUAAUAACUAUCUGGUAAUUUGCCGAUUAUAACAAGCAAUUAAGGCGGCUAAUGGUGUCUUCAUCACUAUUUCAUGAGCAAAGACAUUUUACAGAGAUUAAACAGAACACUGGGGAAUUUGCACUUGGAAUAUGGAAUUGGGGUCUGGCCUCCAUACCUAACAGGAUAUACCUGCGAUAAAGUUUACCAAAUUAACUUCCAGAAGGGGUUAAGGAUAUGCAGAUUGGGGCAAAGGUUAUGCAGAUUUGGGCUAAACCUUUUAAAUUAAGAACAAGUUGAUUCUCAUAGGGCUUGAGAGGGCACAUAUGGAGGUGUAAUCUCCCUCGCCCGAGGUGUCUAGAACCAUGAGUCACGUUCUCAAAAUAAGGUACUAACCAUCAGUACUGCCCAGAGAAGAAUUUCUUCUCCCAGAGGGUAGUGAAUCUUUGGAGUUUUCAACCCUUGUGAUUUGUGGAAAUGCAGUUGAUAAGCAUAUUCAUAGAAACAUGGAAAAAUAGGUGCAAGAGUAGGCCAUUCGGCCCUUCAAUGCAGCACUGCCAUUCAAUAUGAUCACGCCUGAUCAUCUAAAAUCUGUACCCCGUUCGUGCCUUUUUUCCCCAUAUCCCGUGAUUCCUUUAACCCUAAGAGUUAAAUCUACCUAAUUCUUGAAAACAUCCAGUGAAUUGGCCUCCACUGCAUUCUGUGGCAGAGAAUUCCACAGAUUCUCAACUCUCCGGAUGAAAAAAUGUUUCCUCAUCUCAGUUCUAAAUGGCCAACCCCAUACUCUUAAACUGUGACCCCUGGUUCUGGACUCCCCUUACAUCGGGAACAUUUAUCCUGCAUGCCAGCUGUACCUGCAUGCUUACUUUCAGUGACUGAUGUACAAGCACACCCAAGUCUCGUUGCACCUCCCCUUUUCCUAAUUUGACUUAAUUCAGAUAAUAAUCUGCCUUCCUUUAACUGCCACCAAAGUGGAUAACCUCACAUUUAUCCACAUUAUACUAGAUCUGCCAUCUCACCCAACCUAUUAAUUUCUCCCUGCAGCCUCAUAGCAUCCUCUCGCAGCUCUCACUGCCACCCAGCUUUGUGUCAUUCGCAAACUUGGAGAUGUCACAUUUAAUUCCCUUGUCUAAAUCGUUAAUAUAGUAAAUAACUUGGGGUCCCAGCACCGAGCCUUGCGGCAGCCCACUAGUCAUAGCCAGUCAUUCUAAAAAAGGACCCAUUAAUUCCUACUCUUUGCUUCCUGUCUGCCAACCAGUUCUCUAUCUAUGUCAAUACCCUACCUCUAAUACCACGUGCUCUAAUUUUGCACACUAAUCUCAUAUGGGACCAUGACAAAGGUUUUUUGAAAGUCCAGAUACACCACAUCCACUGGGUCUCCCUUAUCCAUUCUACUUGUUACAUCCUCAAAAAAAUUCCAGAAGAUUAGUCAAGAAUGAUUUCCCCUUCAUAAAUCCAUGUUGAGUUUGACCGAUCCUGCCACUGCUUUCCAAUGAGCUGCUAUAACAUCUUUAACAAUCAACUCGAGCAUCUUCCCUACUACUGAUGUAAGGCUAACUGGUCUAUAUUUCCCCGUUUUCUCUCCCCCUCCUGUUUAAAAAAAAGUGGGGUUACAUUGGCUACCCUCCAGUCAACAGGAACUGAUCCAGAGUAGAGAGAACAAUGGAAAAUGAUCACCAAUGCAUCCACGAUUUCUAGGGCCACCUCCUUGAGUACUAUGGGAUGCAGACCAUCAGGCCCUGGGGAUUUAUCUGUCUUCAGUCCCAACAGUUUACCUAAUACCAUUUCCUGACUAUUGUGGAUUCUCUACAAUUCCUCCCUCCUGCUAGUUCCUCGGUCCCCUGAUAUUUCUGGGAGAUUGUUUGUGUCUUCCUUAGUGAAGACAGAACCAAAGUAUUUGUUUAACUGUUCUGCCAUUUCUUUGUUUCCCAUUAUUAAUUCACCUGUCUCUGAUUGUAAGGGACCUACAUUUGACCACUUGUCUUUUCCUUUUUGCAUAUCUAAAGAAGCUUUUAGUCCGUUUUUAUAUUCCCUGCAAGUUUUCUUUCAUGCUCUUUCUCCCCUCUUAAUUAACCCCUUUGUCCUUCUCUGUUGAGUUCUAAAUUUCUCCCAGUCCUCCGGAUUGCUGCUUCCUCUGACCAAUUUAUAUGCCUUUUACUUAGAUUUAACACUACCCUUGAUUUCCCUCGUUAGCCACGGUUGAGCCGCCUUCCCCGUUUUAUAUUUUCACCAGAAAGGGAUGAACAAUUUUUGGAUUUCAUCCAUGCGGUCAUUAAAUGUUUGCCAUUGCAUCUCCACCGUCAACCCUUUAAGCAUAAUUUGCCAGUCUAUCCCAGCCACUUCCCAUCUCAUACCUUCAGAGUCUCCUUUCUUUAAGUUCAGGACCCUAGUCUCUGAAUUAACCGUGUCACUCUCCCUCCUGAUGUAGAAUUCCACCAUAUUAUGGUCACUGUUGCCCAAGGGGCUCUGCACAACAAGAUCGCUAACUAAUCCUUCCUCAUUACACAAUACCCAGUCUAGGAUGGCUGGCCCUCUAAUCGGUUCUUCUACAUGUUGGUUUAAAAAACCAUCCCAUAUACAUUCCAGGAAAUUCUCCUCCCCAGUGCUGCUACCAAUUUGGUUGGUCCAACCUAUAUGUAGAUUAAAGUCACCCAUGAUAACUGCUGUACCUUUGUUUACACGCAUCCCUAAUUUCCUGCUUGAUGCUAUCCCUAACCUCCCUACUGCUGUUUGGUGGUCUGUAUACAACUCCAACUUCAAGACAGAUCAAUAGAUUAUUAGAUAUCAAGGAAAUCAAUAGAUAUGAGGUUGGUAUAGGUAAAAUAUCAGCAAUGAUCUUAUUAAAUGGUAGGGCAGAUACAAUGGCUGCAAGGCCUACUUCUUCUUAUACUUAUAAAAUACAACAACAAUUCACCUAUUUAAAUUGAGCUCACGCAAGAGAAUGUACAUGUUGAGCUGGGCAAUGGAAUCUAAUGAUAUUACCGCCCCAUAGCAUUGAUUAUGUUAUGGGUAGACACAAAAUGCUGGAGUAACUCAGUGGGAGAGGCAGCAUCUCUGGAGAGAAGGAAUGGGUGUUGUUUCGGGUCGAGAUCCUUCUUCAGUCCCAUUCAGAUUGGUUAUGUUAUGACUGAAAACUAUCAAAUCACUUUCCAUAUGCUUUCCACAUACCUCAUCCAUGUCUGUACUUAUAGUGGAUGUUAUGUUUCAUACUAAUUUUCUUCUAAUUUGAGAAUUAAAGCAUAAAACUUAAAAAGUGCUAUAGUUGAACUAAUUCUUAUUCUGUUUUAUUCUUUAAUUGGUACUGCUGCAGUAAAAAAACAUUCAAAUAUACAGCCACACCCUCCAUUUACCAUUUCAAUUAUUGUUAAAAUUCUGAUAAGAUACCAGAAACAAUUACUGGCUAUGUUGAGUUUACUGUGAAAGCAAGUAGAUAGCAAAGUAUUUAGUACCAAGCACUUUCAUAUUUUUAACACCAUGAAAGUUUUGAUCCCAAUUAUGUUUCCAAUUUAAUGACUAUUAAGUUGUCAUUCAGAUUUAUGCAAACUAUUUUUCUUGAGGAAAUAUUAACAUUUUAAAAAAUUGCCAGAGGUCUCAUCUCUCUCCCACCCAAGUUAACAAAAUUUCACUUACGAAUGUCCAAAAUUGUGCGGAGAACAAUUAAAGCUUACCAUCAAUUGAUCAUCCUUGCAGAUGCAUCUCACCAAGUCAAAGACAAAAACUGCACUACGCCUCUGAUCUACGUUAAUCAUUUCAACCCUCCCCCCAAUUGAAAUAAAUUCUGUGAGUAACAAAAUAAAAUAAGAAUUGCUCCAUUGAUUCAUUUUGGUAAUGUUUCAUCAAUGACAUACAAAUAACUAAUUUGCUGGGACUCAUUACAAGGCCAGUUGGGGUAGAUACUAUAUUGAAUAAAUUAUCUACAUCAUCUUUAUACAAGACACUCAAAUAAUUAAAACUAAAAUAUAGUUUAAAAUUCUUCAAAUUCCACAUCUCCUUUUACAAGCAUCUUUUUGGCAUCAGCGGAAUGGAAAAUUAACUAAAACAUGUGCCAUCAUCACCAGUUUACACCAAGAAAAGGCUACAUUUCCCAAUCCCCAUUACUGCAAGAGAUGUACUUGAAGGCGGCAUCAGUUCAAAAAUCAAAACAUGCCAAUAUUUAGUAAUCAGGUUCAUCCCUGGACGAGGGAACACGGUACCACGGGCCAACCAAUAUAAAUUGCGGUAAUUUCAGAUCAGGGAGAAAAUUAAGUAAUACCCGAAAUCCACUUAAUUAAACACUUUACAUUUCAACAUCGCAGUACGUGAUUGACGCUCCGUAUUCAGUCGAGUGAUUUUCAUAUGUUGUAUUUUCUUAAAUCAUCCCACCCCACAUCAUUCCCAUUACUUCAAUACAACUUGGACAUCCCCUCCCGUCCUCCUAGCUAUAUUCCAUACAAAAGGGCGCAUUCGACCUGCCAUCCCUCAAAACGUUUAAUUUCUGAGGGGAAGAAAAUCCGGGCGAAUCAGACAUAUCAAUUCAUACAUAAAAUUCCUUUCCAUCGUUUAUUUAUGUCUGCUGGUCUUCAAUUUCAAAUGGAAGUAGGGAUUCACUGCUUCGAGCAGGCGUUCCUCAGUGGAUAAACAUAAACUGUGUCAAUUUCAUCUAAGGCUCAGUGAGACGCCUUGGCUUUAGAAUCGGUUUAUUUCUGGAUGCCAAGUAGCACUGAAUGCAAUUCCGAGGCUGAUCCAUGCUGCAUCGAGCAACAUAGUUUAAGCAUGCACGUUACACAGUAGGUAUGUAUGUUUGUAUGGACAAACCAGAUCCAGGAGUGAGCUCAACCGCCCGCCUCAACCUAACUUAACGCACAGGAAGUCCCGCCUGCAAUAAACGCCAAUUGGGCCAUUCCCCUCAAUAAUAUCCUAAACAACCCGCUGACGGAAACACUAAUUGGACAACGGACCGUCAAUCAAUCCGCGACGUCAGGGGAUGUCCGUUUAUAAAGUUUAGUUGGCGUCAACACUAAAUGCCUCAAUCGGACCAGUCCCGUCCAUUUACCGCUGGGUUCCUGCCAGCAGCGCCGCCAUCUUUGAGGAAGGCUGCCCUGGCCAAAGAUCAUGGCCCUGGCCCUCCUCCGAGUGAAGAUGCGGCGCCCACGGACCGGAUGCGGCUCCCGUGGACUGGAUUUCUCUGAUGCGGCUAUCCCCGGCAAAGAUGCUAGAGCAAAGCUUUGGUCCCCGGUGCCAGAUCUGGCCGCGAAUUUUAAAUUCAGAAAAAAAAGUCUCCGCUAAAAAAUAGCGAUGUCAUAUUUGGCAGUCGCUGCCUCAAAAAAGGCUGCCAACAUCAUCAACGACCCACGCCAUCCUGGCCGCACAUCUCUCCGUUGCCAUCGGGAAGAAGGUACAGGAGCCUGAAAUCUAACAUCCAGGUUCAGGAACAGCCACUUCCCCACAGCCAUCAGGCUAUUAAACACGACAUCAAGUUCUGAACAAUAACAGUAUUAUUACGAUUGCUCUUUAUCUGUUUAUUUAUUGUGUAUAUAUGAUCUAUAGACACACUGAACUUGAUAUUGUAAUAUGUUUACAUACUCUGUUGUGCUGCAGCAAGUAAGAAUUUCAUUGUCCUAUCUGGGACACAUGACAAUAAAACUCUUGAUUCUUGACAGA